UACGUAGGCAGCAAGCGUUGUUCGGAGUUACUGGGCGUAAAGGGUGCGUAGGCGGCUUUUUAAGUUUGGUGUGAAAUCUCCCGGUUCAACUGGGAGGGUGCGCCGAAUACUGAGAGGCUAGAGUGUGGGAGAGGAAAGUGGAAUUCCUGGUGUAGCGGUGAAAUGCGUAGAUAUCAGGAGGAACACCGGUGGUGUAAACGGCUUUCUGGACCAUAACUGACGCUGAUGCACGAAAGCGUGGGUAGCAAACAGG
rnacentral:rRNA from 1 species